rnacentral:rRNA from 1 species
AAUUCCUUGUCGGGUAAGUUCCGACCCGCACGAAAGGCGUAACGAUCUGGAUGGUGUCUCAGAGAGAGACUCGGCGAAAUAGGAAUGUCUGUGAAGAUACGGACUGCCUGCACCUGGACAGAAAGACCCUAUGAAGCUUUACUGUAGCCUGUAAUUGAAUCCGGGCUGAGCUUGCGCAGGAUAGGUGGGAGGCAUUGAAGUUGCCCUUGUGGGGGUAAUGGAGCCAACGGUGA